rnacentral:snRNA from 1 species
GGGUGUGGGGCAAACUGGUUGAAAUAUCUUUCAUACCCACUGACUCCCUGGGCCAGCUGAUCUUGCUGGGUAGGUGGGGGUUCCCUUCCUCUAGUAUUGUUUCAUGUGUAUCCCUCCUAAAGCUGCCUACUUGGUCAGAGUAGACAUUCCUUCCCCAAUAGAGAACUACUCUUUUUUUUUUGUCAGUCAUUGGGCUUGAACUCUGGGCUUGGGCUAUGUCCCUCAGCUCUCAGCUCAAGGCUAGCGCUCUACCACUUGAGCCACAGUGCCACUUCUGGUUUUUUUUUUUUUGGUGGUUUAUUGGAGAUAAAGAGUCUCAUGGUCUUUUCAUCCGGACUGGCUUUGAAUGACGAUUUGCAGAUCUCAGCUUCCUGAGUAUCUAGGAUUACAGGCGUGAGCCACUGGCGCCUAUCUGAGAACUAUUCUUUACUCAGGGGUAUUCAGGUAACUGUGCUCCCCUGAUAGAACAUUCAAACUUUCAAAGUCUGGAUUGGCCUCCAGAGUUUAGUUCAAUCUAGUUAGCCAUCUAGUGAAAGCCAUAUUUUUGUU